rnacentral:rRNA from 1 species
CAGCAGCCGCGGUAACACGGAGGGUGCAAGCGUUAAUCGGAAUUACUGGGCGUAAAGCGCACGCAGGCGGUCUGACAAGUCAGAUGUGAAAUCCCCGGGCUUAACCUGGGAACUGCAUUUGAAACUGUCAGGCUGGAGUCUUGUAGAGGGGGGUAGAAUUCCAGGUGUAGCGGUGAAAUGCGUAGAGAUCUGGAGGAAUACCGGUGGCGAAGGCGGCCCCCUGGACAAAGACUGACGCUCAGGUGCGAAAGCGUGGGGAGCAAACAGGAUUAGAUACCCCGGUAGUCCCUGUCUCUUAUAC